rfam:Drosophila persimilis strain MSH-3 cont1.004006, whole genome shotgun sequence.
UUUGGUUCUAUGUUCUUAGUACUUGGGUUGAUAAAGACCACUCGUAGUGUGAGAAGCCUUUGUCAUCGCGGGUAUUAUGCAACAUAGCUCAAAA